rnacentral:rRNA from 1 species
AUACGGAGGGUGCAAGCGUUAUCCGGAAUCACUGGGUUUAAGGGUGCGUAGGCGGCUUGGUAAGUCAGGGGUGAAAGUCUGCCGCUCAACGGUAGAAUUGCCUUUGAUACUGCCAGGCUUGAAUAAGCGCGAGGCAGGCGGAAUGUGGCAUGUAGCGGUGAAAUGCAUAGAUAUGCCACAGAACACCAAUUGCGUAGGCAGCUUGCCAGAGCUUUAUUGACGCUGAGGCACGAAAGCGUGGGGAGCGAACAGGAUUAGAAACCCCAGUAGUCC